rnacentral:tRNA from 2 species
GCGGGUGUGGUACAACGGCUAGUACAUCAGCCUUCCAAGCUGAGGACGAGGGUUCGACUCCCUUCACCCGCU